CCCUUAGAUGUUCUGGGCUGCACGCGCGCUACACUGAAGCUAUCAACACGUUUUCCCUCCCUGAGAAGGGCGGGUAACCUUUUGAAUCAGCUUCGUGGUAGGGAUCGGGGCUUGCAAUUGUUCCCCGUGAACCAGGAAUUCCUAGUAUACGCGAGUCAUAAGCUCGCAUCGAUUAAGUCCCUGCCCUUUGUACACACCGCCCGUCGCUACUACCGAUUGAACGUUUUAGUGAGGCAUUUGGACCGACGCAUCUCAGUUUAACCGCUGGUUUGUGUUGGAAAGACUUCCAAACUUGAGCGUUUAGAGGAAGUAAAAGUCGUAACA
rnacentral:rRNA from 1 species